rnacentral:tRNA from 1 species
AAGAUACUAGUAAAAACGACAUUACACUGCUUUGUCAGGGCAGAAUUGUGGGUUAGACCCCCACGUAUCUUA